rnacentral:rRNA from 1 species
UACGUAGGGGGCGAGCGUUGUUCGGAAUUAUUGGGCGUAAAGCGCUUGUAGGCGGUUCGGUAAGGCGGUUGUGAAAACCCUGGGCUCAACCCAGGGCCGGCAUCCGCGACUGCCGGGCUGGAGUGCGGGAGGGGAGAGCGGAAUUCCUGGUGUAGCGGUGAAAUGCGUAGAUAUCAGGAGGAACACCGGUGGCGAAGGCGGGUCUCUGGGCCGUUACUGACGCUGAGGAGCGAAAGCGUGGGGAGCGAACAGG